AACGAACGCUGGCGGCGUGCCUAACACAUGCAAGUCGAACGCGUGGCUUCGGCCACGAGUGGCGCACGGGUGAGUAACGCGUGGGAACCUGCCCUUGAGUGGGGGAUAACCCGGGGAAACCCGGGCUAAUACCGCAUACGUCCUUAUCGGGAGACCGGUUUGGAGAAAGAUUUAUCGCUCGAGGAUGGGCCCGCGUCGGAUUAGCUAGUUGGUGAGGUAACGGCUCACCAAGGCGACGAUCCGUAGCUGGUCUGAGAGGAUGAUCAGCCACACUGGGACUGAGACACGGCCCAGACUCCUACGGGAGGCAGCAGUGGGGAAUAUUGGACAAUGGGGGCAACCCUGAUCCAGCAAUGCCGCGUGAGUGAUGAAGGCCUUAGGGUUGUAAAGCUCUUUCGGCGGGACGAUGAUGACGGUACCCGCAGAAGAAGCCCCGGCUAACUUCGUGCCAGCAGCCGCGGUAAUACGAAGGGGGCUAGCGUUGUUCGGAAUUACUGGGCGUAAAGGGCGCGCAGGC
rnacentral:rRNA from 1 species